rnacentral:rRNA from 1 species
AGAGAGAGACAUGCGCGCAUAUCAAUAAGCGGAGGAAAAGAAACUAACUAGGAUUCCCUCAGUAACGGCGAGUGAAGCGGAAAGAGCUCAAAUUUGAAAUCUUCAAGGUUCUACCUUGACGAAUUGUAGUUUAAAGAAGUGUUUUCUGUUGAAGUUUUGGUAAAAGUUCUUUGGAAUAGGACAUCAUAGAGGGUGAGAAUCCCGUAUUUGACCAUUAUUUCCAGCUUUGUGAUACACUUUCAAAGAGUCGGAUUGUUUGGGAAUGCAGUCCAAAAUGGAUGGUAAAUUUCAUCUAAUGCUAAAUACUGGCGAGAGACCGAUAGCGAACAAGUACCGUGAGGGAAAGAUGAAAAGAACUUUGAAAAGAGAGUUAAACAGUACGUGAAAUUGUCAAAAGGGAAGCGUUUGACACCAGUGUUGUUUUCUCGAAAAUCAAUUAAAAAAGGCAGGAUUUUGUGUUGUAUUGACUUUAUCAGCUUUCUGCACUCUUUUCUUGUCUUUUUUAAUGCACUUUUCGUUUAACAAGUCAACAUCAAUUUCUUUUGUUGUAAAAGGGUCAUUGGAAGGUGGCUUUCUUUUCGGAGAAAGUGUUUAUAGCCUUUGGCCUCUGCAAUCGGAGAGAUUGAGGUCUGCAGCGUAGAUCCUUCGGGGUUAGAUACAUUUGUGCUAAGUUAUAGCCUUUCAUAGACAACUUGUUGACUAUGAUCAGUCAUGUAGCUUACUCGCUUAUGCUAUUUUACCUACGCUUAGGAUGUUGAUGUGAUACUGCGAGCA